GCGGGCUGGUUGCGGUUGAUUUGGGCUAACACGGUGGCCAACGCGACUCCCACGGUCCCAGCCUCAGAGUGUACCCCAAGGAGGCAGAGGGGUGAAGCCCUCGGCUCCAGGACCAUCUCCUUGAAUUCCUGCAGCACAAGCCCAUAUGAGUGACACUCCUGCUGUGAAUCUUCUGUCUGUGGGCCCCCUCUGCUGUCAGUUGUUGAGCUGAAAGCCAUCCUCCAUCACCAUCAGGAGGCCAGAGGACUUGGUUUCAAUUCCCAGCACUCACAUGGUGGCUCACAACCAUCCAUAACUCCAGUUCCAGGUAUCCAAAGCCCUCUUCCAACUUCCACAGGCACUACUUGUACAAAAACAAAAACAGACAAACAAAACAUACUAUCAAAGGAGUGCCCCUGGGCAGAGCUAAUUUACAAACCAGGAAAGUUUUGUAUUACUUUGGUUCUUGAUAUUUAAGGAAAUCUGGGUUGAAACAGUAGCUGAGUCGUGCAGUGGUAGUGUUUAUCUAUACAUGUAAGUUACUAGGUUCGAUGCCUAGAAAAUGCAGAAACAGAAAAAAAAUCUGCCCACAAUGUCUGAGGAUGAUACUUGUGGCCACAUAAUAUACCUGAUGAGGAAUAGCCCUUGUAAAAAUAAUUUGGGCAAAUAAACUAUGGUAGUCUUCCACAAGCAAGGACAAGUAAAGUAAACCUUGCCAGGAUUAAUGUUGAACACCUUCAGUCCAGGCACUCAGGUCUCUGUGAGUUCGAGGCCAGGUCAGCCAAGACUGUACAGUGAGACCCUGUCUCCAAAAAACAAAAACAAACACUAACCUUGAAAGAGGAGACUUAUUGGCAGAAUUGCAACAUCAUACUGUACAAAAAUCUAAUUAUUAGCAAUUCAAAGGCAAAAAAA
rnacentral:lncRNA from 1 species